rnacentral:rRNA from 1 species
GUGAGGAAUAUUGGUCAAUGGGCGCAAGCCUGAACCAGCCAUGCCGCGUGCAGGAAGACGGUCCUAUGGAUUGUAAACUGCUUUUAUUUGGGAAUAAACUCCGGUACGUGUACCGGCCUGAAGGUACCAAAUGAAUAAGCACCGGCUAACUCCGUGCCAGCAGCCGCGGUAAUACGGAGGGUGCAAGCGUUAUCCGGAAUCCUUGGGUUUCAAGGGUCCGCAGGCGGUCUUAUAAGUCAGGGGUGAGAGCCUACGGCUCAACUGUAGAACUGCCAUUGAUACUGUAGGACUUGAAUUCGAUCGAAGUGGGCGGAAUGUGACAUGUAGCGGUGAAAUGCUUAGAUAUGUCACAGAACACCGAUAGCGAAGGCAGCUCACUAGGUCUGGAUUGACGCUCAGGGACGAAAGCGUGGGGAGCAAACAGGAUUAGAUACCCCAGUAGUCC